GGGGGGGGGGGGGGGGGGGGCUGGGGCGUGCGGGGCGGGCGGGGCCGUCGGGGCUGGGGGCGCACGGGGGGGUAAGGCGUGGGAACCUGCCCUUAGGUUCGGAAUAACUCCCCGCACGGGGUGCUAAUACCGGAUAAUGUCUUCGGACCAAAGAUUUAUCGCCUUUGGAUGGGCCCGCGUUGGAUUAGCUAGUUGGUAGGGUAAAAGCCUACCAAGGCGACGAUCCAUAGCUGGUCUGAGAGGAUGAUCAGCCACACUGGGACUGAGACACGGCCCAGACUCCUACGGGAGGCAGCAGUGGGGAAUAUUGGACAAUGGGCGAAAGCCUGAUCCAGCAAUGCCGCGUGAGUGAUGAAGGCCUUAGGGUUGUAAAGCUCUUUUACCCGGGAUGAUAAUGACAGUACCGGGAGAAUAAGCUCCGGCUAACUCCGUG
rnacentral:rRNA from 1 species